GUGCUCGCUUCGGCAGCACAGACACUGAAAUUAGAACGAUAAGAGAAGAUUAGCAUGGCCCCCUGCGCAAGGAUGACACGGAAAUUCCUGAAGCGUUUCAUAUUUUU